GUACCAUUUGGAAACAGAUGCUAAUACCGAUAAAAGCUACUUUCGCAUGAAAGAGUUAAAAGGACGGCGUAAGCUGUCGCUAAAGGAUGGACCUGCGAUGCAUUAGCUAGUUGGUAAGGGUAACGGGCUUACCCAAGGCGAUGAUGCAUAGCCCGAGUUGAGAGACUGAUCGGGCCACGUUGGGGACUGAGACACGGGCCCAAACUCCUACGGGAGGCAGCAGUAGGGAAUCUUCCACAAUGGACGAAAGUCUGAUGGAGCAAACGCCGCGUGAGUGAAGAAGGUUUUCGGAUCGUAAAGCUCUGUUGUUGGUGAAGAAGGAUAGAGGUAGUAACUGGCCCUUUAUUUGACGGUAAUCAACCAGAAAGUCACGGGCUAACUACGUGCCAGCAGCCGCGGUAAAU
rnacentral:rRNA from 1 species